rnacentral:rRNA from 1 species
UACAGAGGAGCCAAGCGUUGUCCGGAUUGACUGGGCGUAAAGCGCACGCAGGCGGCAUCGCGCGUGGGGUGUGAAAUCUGGCCGCUUAACGGCCAGGCGCCAUCCCAUACGGCGAGGCUGGAGCGAUGCAGAGGUCGGUGGAAUUGCCGGUGUAGUGGUGAAAUGCGUAGAGAUCGGCAGGAACACCCAGGGGGAAACCAGCCGACUGGG